rnacentral:rRNA from 1 species
AGUGAACGUUGGCGGCGUGGAUUAGGCAUGCAAGUCGAGCGAGAACCGUAGCAAUACGGGGACAGCGGCGAAAGGGACAGUAAUGUGUAGGUACCUACCUCCGGGUUCGGGAUAGCUGCGGGAAACUGCAGGUAAUACCGAAUAACGUCUCCGGACCAAAGGUGUGAUACCACCUGGAGAGGGGCCUGCAUCCUAUUAGCUUGUUGGCGGGGUAACGGCCCACCAAGGCGACGAUGGGUAGCGGGUGUGAGAGCACGACCCGCGUCAUUGGGACUGAGACACUGCCCAGACACCUACGGGUGGCUGCAGUCGUGAAUCUUCGGCGAUGGGCGCAAGCCUGACCGAGCGACGCCGCGUGCGGGAUGAAGGCCUUCGGGUUGUAAACCGCUGUCGUAGAGGAGGAAAUGCAGGGGGUUCUCCCCUCUGUUUGACCUAUUCUAGGAGGAAGUACGGGCUAAGUUCGUGCCAGCAGCCGCAGUAA